rnacentral:rRNA from 1 species
CCUACGGGCGGCUGCAGUGGGGAAUAUUGGACAAUGGGCGAAAGCCUGAUCCAGCCAUGCCGCGUGUGUGAAGAAGGCCUUCGGGUUGUAAAGCACUUUCAGUGGGGAAGAAAGCCUUGGGGCUAAUACCCUCGAGGAAGGACAUCACCCACAGAAGAAGCACCGGCUAACUCCGUGCCAGCAGCCGCGGUAAUACGGAGGGUGCGAGCGUUAAUCGGAAUUACUGGGCGUAAAGCGCGCGUAGGCGGUCUGAUAAGCCGGUUGUGAAAGCCCCGGGCUCAACCUGGGAACGGCAUCCGGAACUGUCAGGCUAGAGUGCAGGAGAGGAAGGUAGAAUUCCCGGUGUAGCGGUGAAAUGCGUAGAGAUCGGGAGGAAUACCAGUGGCGAAGGCGGCCUUCUGGACUGACACUGACGCUGAGGUGCGAAAGCGUGGGUAGCAAACAGGAUUAGAUACCCUUGUAGUC